rnacentral:tRNA from 1 species
GCACACGUAGCUCAAUUGGAUAGAGUAUCGGACCGCGAAUCCGACGGUUGGAAGUUCAAAUCUUCUCGUGUGCGCCA